rnacentral:lncRNA from 1 species
AAAAUAUAAUAUAUAAUUUUAUUAUAUGAAAAUAAAUUAAUCACAAAAGAACAAAUAUUUGGACAUCUUCUUGUCCCCAAUAACGAAUAAGUACCUCCCACUGAUCAGCUUUCACAUGCUGAGGAGAUCUAGAGAUAAGAUUUUCUUCCCUCUGGUACUCAUCAUGGUAAUGAUGCUUGAUAUAAGACUUUCAAUUCCUCCACAUCUCACCAAC